GGGUCGGUAGUAUGAUUAGGAAUAGUGCGUGGGGUUGUAAACUCCAAGGAGGUGGUUAGAGCCUCGGCUCA
rnacentral:tRNA from 1 species